rnacentral:rRNA from 1 species
UGGAGAGUUUGAUCCUGGCUCAGAUUGAACGCUGGCGGCAGGCCUAACACAUGCAAGUCGAGCGGUAGAGAGAAGCUUGCUUCUCUUGAGAGCGGCGGACGGGUGAGUAAUACCUAGGAAUCUGCCUGAUAGUGGGGGAUAACGUUCGGAAACGGACGCUAAUACCGCAUACGUCCUACGGGAGAAAGCAGGGGACCUUCGGGCCUUGCGCUAUCAGAUGAGCCUAGGUCGGAUUAGCUAGUUGGUGAGGUAAUGGCUCACCAAGGCUACGAUCCGUAACUGGUCUGAGAGGAUGAUCAGUCACACUGGAACUGAGACACGGUCCAGACUCCUACGGGAGGCAGCAGUGGGGAAUAUUGGACAAUGGGCGAAAGCCUGAUCCAGCCAUGCCGCGUGUGUGAAGAAGGUCUUCGGAUUGUAAAGCACUUUAAGUUGGGAGGAAGGGCAGUAAAUUAAUACUUUGCUGUUUUGACGUUACCGACAGAAUAAGCACCGGCUAACUCUGUGCCAGCAGCCGCGGUA